AGCGUCCCCUCGGACCUGCAGCGAGGCAGCAAAGCGUUGCUAUUGGCCGUGGUUCUGAUUCGAUGGGCGGCCAUGACCGCAGCGGAUUCACUGCGAAGCCGCCGCCGACAACGCCGCCGUGGAGCUUCGCCUGUCGGUCUGCUUCUGCUGGAGUCUCCGCCGACGAGCGAGUGAGCGAGGGAGUGGGAGGGACCGGGGGUGGGGGGCGCCCGUCCGCCCGCCCGCCAGGCCAGCAGCGGCCAGCCCGGCUGAUGUCACCCGGUAAGGGAGGAGGGGCUGAGGCCCUUCGAGGAGGAGGAGGAGGGGCGCGCGAGGCUCCCCGCAGGACGUCAUCGGCACCGCCGCACGUAGAAAAUGUGAAAUGCUGUCGAAAUGGAACAUUAAACCAUUUUGUUGCGAUGUCCUCAAAAGCAGUCGCAGCAGCAAUUGCUUGAAACUUGACACACGCCUCCACUUCUUUGCCAAGCGAGCAACCCGGCGGGCGGGCGGGCGUGCGGGGUCCUUGGACCUGUAUCCUCCGUGGAGCGCGUCGAGCGUGGCCAAUUUGGACGGGCUUGUUGCGAAUUUGGUUGCUAGGGCAAUAAGACGCGUUCACAAUCCACUCGGGAUGGAUUCUUCGUUUUCCUCGUUUGUGGAUCAGCAGCAGGCGUCGGUCGUCACGGUAACGGGAACCAGCCAUCUUUUUAUUUUUCAAAGCGCUCCUCGAGGGGGGAGGGCUCAAAAUGACGCGCAUCUUGUUGUUGGCGGCGUCGCUUCCAGCUGCGACCAAAGAAAGACAGGAAGCGUCCGAAACAAAAGAGGGAACGACAGUUCCCGGUUCGGCUCGUACUAUCCGUCAGAAAUGUUGAUUGCAGAUGCUUCUCCUUCUACUCGAG